AUUGAACGCUGGCGGCAGGCCUAACACAUGCAAGUCGAGCGGAUGAAGGGAGCUUGCUCCUGGAUUCGGCGGCGGACGGGUGAGUAAUGCCUAGGAAUCUGCCUGGUAGUGGGGGAUAACGUCCGGAAACGGGCGCUAAUACCGCAUACGUCCUGAGGGAGAAAGUGGGGGAUCUUCGGACCUCACGCUAUCAGAUGAGCCUAGGUCGGAUUAGCUAGUCGGUGGGGUAAAGGCCUACCAAGGCGACGAUCCGUAACUGGUCUGAGAGGAUGAUCAGUCACACUGGAACUGAGACACGGUCCAGACUCCUACGGGAGGCAGCAGUGGGGAAUAUUGGACAAUGGGCGAAAGCCUGAUCCAGCCAUGCCGCGUGUGUGAAGAAGGUCUUCGGAUUGUAAAGCACUUUAAGUUGGGAGGAAGGGCAGUAAGUUAAUACCUUGCUGUUUUGACGUUACCAACAGAAUAAGCACCGGCUAACUUCGUG
rnacentral:rRNA from 1 species